rnacentral:rRNA from 1 species
CCUGCCGGAGAUCACUGCUAUUGGAAUCCGGCUAAGGCAUGCGAGUCGAGAGGGUUCGGCCCUCGGCGGACGGCUCAGUAACACGUGGAUAAUCUGCCCUUAGGUGGGGGAUAAUCUCGAGAAAUUGAGCAUAAUACCCCAUAGUUCUAGAUUGCUGGAAUGCGUUUAAAAUGAAAGCUCUGGCGCCUAAGGAUGAGUCUGCGGCCUAUCAGGUUGUAGUGAGUGUAACGGACUCACUAGCCGACGACGGGUACGGGUCCUGGAAGGGAGUGCCCGGAGAUGGACUCUGAGACACGAGUCCAGGCCCUACGGGGCGCAGCAGCUACGAAAACUUCACAAUGCGGGAAACCGCGAUGAGGGGAUUCCAAGUGCUAAUACUUUGUAUUAGCUGUUUACUUGCCUAAAAAGCAGGUAGAGUAAGGGCUGGGUAAGACUGGUGCCAGCCGCCGCGGUAAUACCAGCAGCUCAAGUGGUGAUCGUUUUUAUUGGGCCUAAAGCGUCCGUAGCCGGUUUGGUAAACCCUUGGGUAAAUCGGGCAGCUUAACUGUCCGACUUCUGAGGAGACUGCCAGACUUGGGACCGGGAGAGGUCAGAGGUACUUCUGGGGUAGGGGUGAAAUCCUGUAAUCCUAGAAGGACCACCAGUGGCGAAGGCGUCUGACUAGAACGGGUCCGACGGUAAGGGACGAAGCCCUGGGUCACGAACCGGAUUAGAUACCCGGGUAGUCCAGGGUGUAAACGCUGCGGGCUUGGUGUUGGGGGUCCUACGAGGGCGUCCAGUGCCGGAGAGAAGUUGUUAAGCCCGCCGCCUGGGGAGUACGGCCGCAAGGUCGAAACUUAAAGGAAUUGGCGGGGGAGCACAGCAA